UGGCAGGCGGCUCCUGCAGCUGCAAAGCCUGCAGAUGCACCUCCUGCAAGAAGAGCUGCUGCCCCUGCUGCCCCGUGGGCUGCGCCAAGUGUGCCCAGGGCUGCGUCUGCAAAGGGGCCUCGGACAAGUGCAGCUGCUGUGCCUGAUGUCGCGGACAGCCUGCCCCGGGUGUAAAUAGAGCAACGUGUACAAACCUACAUUCCUCUUUUUUUUUUCCUAUAAAAUAAGAAAAUGAUAAUAAAAGUGGUUGGCUUUA